UCCUCACCGAACCCACACACCCGCGCCUUCUCUUCUCCUCGCGUGUCCUAACCGGCGCCGCGGUAGUUCCCUUCUCGCAAUUUAAGCCGUGGUCGAGGGUUGCAUCUCCUUCUUCUUCCCUUUCCUCACCGAGCCUUUUUCCCCCUCGAACUCACUGUCUCCUCCGCCCGAAACCAGGCCGCCUGACCUCGCGCGCACGCCCUCACCCCUCUGCCGCCGGCGACGAGAGCCCCGAUUCCUCUCAUCUGGCCGACGCGACGUCGACCCCCGAUCCGCCGGCAUCCGAGCCCUAGAGUCGCUGUCGUCGCCACAGAUUUGCCACCGCUGUGCCCUAGCUAGCCGCCGGCGACCCCCCUUGUGCCCUAGCCUCUCUACUCAUCCGUCUCCUUCUUUGAGACGCCAGCCGAUUGCCAGCCCCUCUUCUGUGCUCUGUGCCCUAGCAUCCCGCUGACACCUCGCCGGAGUUUCUUCUCCUCGGUACUAGCCGCUGAGCCCUUUGCCAAUUUACACCUCACGCGAUUUCCUCUUCUCCGACACCCUGUGCCCUAGCGCCGGCGCAUCUCUGUUGGUGUUUGUUUCCGGCCAGGAGCAGGGUAUCAGUGCCCUAGUUUUGGGUUCACAGCCGCUGCCGCACCCCUGCACAGUGCCGACAGCUACUGGUCUUUCCGAUCUUAGGUGCCACCUCUACACGAGUUGGGCUUCAUCCAGGGGCAAAGGGAUAUUGAUUUGGUGGACAACAGUUUGACCAGGGCAGAGAAGUUGAUUCCAGCAGCAAGAAUGACUGUGGAACUUGAGGACUGUAACGCGAGAUGAGUAUCUCGACGUUGGAAUUGGACCGGAUAUGAUCCUUUCUUAUUGGAGG